rnacentral:lncRNA from 1 species
UGGAAAACACUUUAUCCAUGCAGUAGCAUAAAUAUAUCAUAGAACAAACGUCAAAUAGCUUAGAUUUCAGAGAAAAACUAGAAACGGGAAAGGCGUGGAAGAAAGUCUGAUCCUGAGUCGGAGAGGUCAGAAAAGGCUCAUAAUGCUUGAAUAUGCCGGAGAAAAGGCCGAAGACGCCAUAGAACCAUAGAUUUGAGAAGAUCUGAAAGAGAACCAUCGAGGUUAGACCUCAAGACUUUGAACACCCAUGGUCUAAUGGUGGAGGGGGUGUGUACAGGCCAUCCAUGGCCUGAAAAGCCAUGGAUUCCGGUAAAAGACGGUUGAAAAGGGAUAUAAGAAGGCCAAGGUUCCGAAGAACCUUCGAGAGAGA